UACGUAGGGGGCAAGCGUUGUCCGGAAUCAUUGGGCGUAAAGCGCGUGUAGGCGGCUCGAUAAGUCUGCUGUGAAAGUCCAGGGCUCAACCCUGGGAUGCCGGUGGAUACUGUCGAGCUCGAGUCCGGAAGAGGAGUGUGGAAUUCCUGGUGUAGCGGUGAAAUGCGCAGAUAUCAGGAAGAACACCUAUGGCGAAGGCAGCUCUCUGGGACGGUACUGACGCUGAGACGCGAAAGCGUGGGGAGCGAACAGG
rnacentral:rRNA from 1 species